UACAGAGGUCUCAAGCGUUGUUCGGAUCAUUGGGCGUAAAGGGUGCGUAGGUGGCGCUGUAAGUCGGGUGUGAAAUUUCGGAGCUUAACUCCGAAACUGCAUUCGAUACUGCGGUGCUUGAGGACUGGAGAGGAGACUGGAAUUCAUGGUGUAGCAGUGAAAUGCGUAGAGAUCAUGAGGAAGACCAGUGGCGAAGGCGGGUCUCUGGACAGUUCCUGACACUGAGGCACGAAGGCCAGGGGAGCAAACGGG
rnacentral:rRNA from 1 species